rnacentral:rRNA from 1 species
UUGAACGCUGGCGGCAGGCCUAACACCUGCAAGUCGAACGGUAACAGGAAACAGCUUGCUGUUUCGCUGACGAGUGGCGGACGGGUGAGUAAUGUCUGGGAAACUGCCUGAUGGAGGGGGAUAACUACUGGAAACGGUAGCUAAUACCGCAUAACGUCGCAAGACCAAAGAGGGGGACCCUCGGGCCUCUUGCCAUCGGAUGUGCCCAGAUGGGAUUAGCUAGUAGGUGGGGUAACGGCUCACCUAGGCGACGAUCCCUAGCUGGUCUGAGAGGAUGACCAGCCACACUGGAACUGAGACACGGUCCAGACUCCUACGGGAGGCAGCAGUGGGGAAUAUUGCACAAUGGGCGCAAGCCUGAUGCAGCCAUGCCGCGUGUAUGAAGAAGGCCUUCGGGUUGUAAAGUACUUUCAGCGGGGAUGAAGGGAGUAAAGUUAAUACCUUGGCUCAUUGACGUUACCCGCAGAAGAAGCACCGGCUAACUCCGUG